rnacentral:misc_RNA from 1 species
AGCACACAAUAUACACUCAUACAUUCCAUCCAACUUAGCCCUAUCUUUCUUACUUUGAAGAAUCUCCUUCCCAGGCACAGGAGGGUCGCUCUUCCUCUUCAACCACGGCUCAAUACUCUUAUACUGGUUAUAGAAAUUGGUCAUGUCCACCACCAGAUCCUUGAUCACGAACAUAUGAGGCAGCGGCGUAAUCGUGGAGGAAGCUCCAGCGGGAAUCUUGGUCAAGCAAGCCAAUCCGUUACAUCCAUCGAUGUUCAUCGCACAGGAACCGCAGAUCCCCUCUCGGCACGAGCGGCGAAAGGUCAGAGACGGGUCCAUCUCGUUCUUGAUUUUGAUUAGGGCAUCGAGUACCAUGGGCCCACACUCUUUGAGAUCGAUCUUGUACUCCUGAAGCUCUGGUUUGGAAGGACUAUUGGGGUUCCAUCGGUAAAUUGCGAAUGUCUUCAGGUUCGAUGAGGCGGCCGCUUUUUGCUCGACUUGCUGGGCUUCAGCUUCGGAAGCGUGAGCUCGAAUUCGAACGAAUCUUGAAGGUGACGUUGCAGAAACCCUAGAUAAUGCCCGCCUCAGGAUUCCGGUCGCCAUUGUUGCCACCAAGAAAGAGAGAAACCUAUCAGAAUGAGAAUGGAA